UACAGAGGGUGCUAGCGUUGUUCGGAAUCAUUGGGCGUAAAGCGUGCGCAGGCGGUGAUGUAAGACAGGGGUGAAAUCCCCGGGCUUAACCUGGGAACUGCAUUUGUGACUGCAUCGCUGGAGUGCGGCAGAGGGGGAUGGAAUUCCGCGUGUAGCAGUGAAAUGCGUAGAUAUGCGGAGGAACACCGAUGGCGAAGGCAAUCCCCUGGGCCUGUACUGAC
rnacentral:rRNA from 1 species